rnacentral:rRNA from 1 species
UACGAAGGGGGCUAGCGUUGCUCGGAAUCACUGGGCGUAAAGGGUGCGUAGGCGGGUCUUUAAGUCAGGGGUGAAAUCCUGGAGCUCAACUCCAGAACUGCCUUUGAUACUGAGGAUCUUGAGUUCGGGAGAGGUGAGUGGAACUGCGAGUGUAGAGGUGAAAUUCGUAGAUAUUCGCAAAGAACACCAGUGGCGAAGGCGGCUCACUGGCCCGAUACUGACGCUGAGGCGCGAAAGCUAGGGG